rnacentral:rRNA from 1 species
AACUUUUAACAACGGAUCUCUUGGUUCUGGCAUCGAUGAAGAACGCAGCGAAAUGCGAUAAGUAAUGUGAAUUGCAGAAUUCAGUGAAUCAUCGAAUCUUUGAACGCACAU